UAAUUAUUUCAAAAUGAUGAAAAUCAUUACCCAGCUCAUCUGAAAAAGAAUACUUUGAAGAUACUUUUUCAUGCAUCACAAUCUGAUUGAAAUAAUUUAUUAUUACAGAAACAA